CAAGUUUGUCCAACCCACGGCCCAUGGGCCACAUGUAGUCCAGGAUGGCUUUGUAUGCAGCCCAACACAAUUUGUAAACUUUCUUAAAACGUUAUGACAUUUUUCUGAAAUUUUUUGACUAAUUUUGUAAU